UACGUAGGGUGCGAGCGUUGCCCGGAUUUAUUGGGCGUAAAGAGCUCGUAGGCGGUUUGUCGCGUCGGAUGUGAAAGCCCGGGGCUUUAACCCCGGGUCUGCAUUCGAUACGGGCAGACUGGAGUGUGGUAGGGGAGAUCGAAUUCCUGGUGUAGCGGUGAAAUGCGCAGAUAUCAGGAGGAACACCGGUGGCGAAGGCGGAUCUCUGGGCCAUUACUGACGCUGGAGGAGCGAAAGCGUGGGGAGCGAACAGGA
rnacentral:rRNA from 1 species